AUACGUAGGGAGCGAGCGUUGUCCGGAAUUACUGGGCGUAAAGGGCGCGUAGGCGGCGCUUCAAGUCGUCUGUCAAAUGGGAGGGCUUAACCCUUUUUCGCAGACGAAACUGGAGAGCUUGAGAAGCAGAGAGGCAAACAGAAUUCCUGGUGUAGCGGGGAAAUGCGUAGAUAUCAGGAAGAAUACCAGUGGCGAAGGCGGUUUGCUGGCUGCAUACUGACGCUGAAGCGCGAAAGCCAGGGGAGCAAACGGGAUUAGAUACCCCGGUAGUCCUGGCAGUAAACGAUGUAUGCUGGGUGUGAGACUAGCGAUAGUUUCGUGCCGAAGUUAACGCGAUAAGCAUACCGCCUGGGGAGUACGGUCGCAAGAUUGAAACUCAAAGGAAUUGACGGGG
rnacentral:rRNA from 1 species